rnacentral:rRNA from 1 species
UGGGGAAUUUUGGACAAUGGGGGAAACCCUGAUCCAGCCAUUCCGCGUGAGUGAAGAAGGCCUUCGGGUUGUAAAGCUCUUUCGGCAGGAACGAAACGGUCGUGGUGAAUAUCCAUGGCUAAUGACGGUACCUGAAGAAGAAGCACCGGCUAACUACGUGCCAGCAGCCGCGGUAAUACGUAGGGUGCGAGCGUUAAUCGGAAUUACUGGGCGUAAAGCGUGCGCAGGCGGUUUUGUAAGACAGGUGUGAAAUCCCCGGGCUUAACCUGGGAACUGCGCUUGUGACUGCAAGACUGGAGUGCGGCAGAGGGGGGUGGAAUUCCACGUGUAGCAGUGAAAUGCGUAGAGAUGUGGAGGAACACCGAUGGCGAAGGCAGCCCCCUGGGUCGACACUGACGCUCAUGCACGAAAGCGUGGGGAGCAAACAGG